CACUAAGUAUAAUUAGAAGACAUACCCCAGAGAAACAACAAGCAACACAACUCUCUGUAGAUGCGAGGGAGCUGUCUUCAGAGUUUUCCAAGAAAGGGAAGGCGAUCUAUAAAGCUCCAGCUGCAAAAAAACAAAAGAGAGUCAGUCCAUAUGAGAAGAAAAUUGCACAGGAGCUUGUGAUGAAUGAAAACCAACUGAUGGAUGCCCCUAUUCAGACCUGGGAAGGGGCGAGUACAUGGGCUUUGGUGGCUAGCCCUAAUAAGCCACCUCAGCAAAGAUGAAGCUAUUAAGCUGGAACUGUCAAGGGCUAGGUAACCCCUUGACAGUCCAGCAUUUUAGAGCCUUAGUGGCUCAUGAGAGGCCCAACCUGGUGUUCCUUAUGGAAACAAAAAAUCAAAAUAAUGUUGUUGAGAGAGUAAGGAAGAGGACCCCGUUUACAAAUUCCUAUAUCAUUGAACCAAGGGGUAUAGCUGGAGGGCUAGUAGUAAUGUGGGAUGAGGAGGUCCAAGUGGAAGUGGAAGGCGGUUCACGGGAGCUCAUAAAUAUAAAAUGUAAGAAUCUUAGCACGGGGGAUAUCAUGCGGAUUUCCUUUUUACAUGCACCCACUAUCUUUCAAGAGAGAUUGAGAUUAUGGCGUCAAGUAAAGAACAACAACUAUCCCAACUCUCUCCCACGGUUAUGUGUUGGAGAUUUCAAUGAAAUACUUUACCACUGGGAAAAGGUUGGUUGCAAGGAGGUGGAUCGAUACCGAACAGCAGCUUUUCGGGGUUUCUUGGAUGAUUGCUCUUUGAUGGAUCUUGAGAGUAAAGGCUGUGCCUACACCUGGUCCAACAAGAGAGAAGGUAGUGCUUUGGUUAAAAAGAGACUAGACAGGGUACUUUGUAAUUUGGAAUGGAGGGUACUGUACCCAAAUGCUCAGGCCUUUGCUCUACCAGCAAUAGGCUCGGAUCACAGCCCGAUCAUUCUAUCCCUACAACCGCCAGAAAGGAGAAGACAGAAAUUUUUUAAGUUUCAACCAUUUUGGCUAGAAGAUCCGGAAUGUGAGAAGGUGAUUAAACAGGUUUGGCAUGCAAACAACUCUAUUGCACUCAGUUUUACUCACAAAUUAAAGUUGAUUGCAUCAGAAUUAGACAAAUGGAGCAGGAGAAAGUUUCAAAACGCCCAAAAACAGAUCCACCCCCUCAAAUUCAGACUUAUGGAGUUAACGAACAGCACAGAUGGAGAGCAAAACAGAGAGGAAAUCAGUAAUCUUAAUCGGAAAAAUGAAGAGCUAUGGAGGCAAGAAGAGAUGUACUGGUGUAUGAAGUCAAGAAUAGAGUGGUUAAAAUGGGGAGAGCAAAAUACCAAAUACUUCCAUGCAACAACAGUUCAAAGGAGACAACGAAAUAAAAUCUCUAUGCUUCGGCUAGAGGAUCAAACCUGGAGUAGAGAUCCCAAGACUCUUAAGCAUCAUAUUCGUCAAUUUUACCAAUCUUUAUUCACUUCAGCUGGUGAGCGGAACUACCAACCUGUUUUAGAACAAUGCCAAGAAGCGGUGAGUGAAGAAAUGAAUGUGGACCUUAUCAAACCAGUUACAAAAGAGGAAGUUAAAGAUGCAGUUUUUCAGCUAGGGGCGACUAAGGCACCAGGACCGGAUGGACUAAAUGGUUUAUUCUACCAAAAUCAGUGGUCACUUAUCAAUGAAGACAUUUUCAGCAUGGUGCAGUCUUUCUUCCGACAUGGUACAUUUGAUCCAGAGAUAAAUAGAACACAUAUUACUCUCAUCCCUAAAACAACCAACCCAGAGAACAUCACCCAGUUCAGACCUAUAAGCCUUUGCAAUUUCAAUUAUAAAAUUAUUGCUAAAGUGCUAGCAAAUAGGUUGAAACCAUGGCUGCCAACUUUAGUUUCUGAAGAACAAACAGCAUUUAUAAGUGGCAGGCAGAUUCAGGAUAACAUAUUUAUUGUUCAAGAGGUGAUCCAUCAACUAAGGGUGAGAAGAAGGAGACGAAAAUUUCAGGCCAUCCUCAAACUAGAUAUGAAAAAAGCGUAUGAUAGAGUUGAAUGGGAUUUUCUUUGUGAUUAUAUGCUAAAAGUGGGUUUUCAUGAGAGAUGGGUUGAGUGGAUAAAACAAUGUAUUUCAACGGUAUCUUUCAACAUACUCAUUAAUGGAGAGCCUACAGAAAAUUUUAGACCUACUAGAGGAAUAAGGCAAGGGGAUCCCCUUUCCCCCUACCUUUUUAUCAUCAUGGCAAACAUCUUAUCGACUCUCAUGAGGAAAGCUGUCCAAGAAGGGAGUAUAAAGGGUAUUCGCCUUAAUGCUACUUGCCCAACCCUCUCACAUCUCCUUUUUGCAGACGAUACUAUUUUCUUCCUAGAUGGCACAAUCUGAGAAGCACAAAGUGUCUCAAAUGUGCUGAAUAAUCUGAGAAGCACAAAGUGUCUCAAAUGUGCUGAAUCAGUAUUGUUAUGCGACAGGUCAAGCUAUAAACCUCAACAAAUCAGGCCUUUAUGUUGGGAAAGAUUGUCCUCACAACCUUAAACAGAAUCUAGCCUCAGAAUUAAGAGUUCCCAUCUCUGAAAAUCUAGGAAAGUACCUUGGAAUUCCAUCGGAAUGGGGAAAAACAAAAAAGCAAAUGUUUGCUUGGAUCCUUGCAAAGGUUGAACGGAAAAUGGAAGGGUGGAAAGAGAAGCUGAUUUCGAAGGCAGGUAAAGAAAUCCUUAUUAAGUCAGUCAUUCAAGCCAUUCCCCAAUAUGCGAUGUCCAUCUUUAAAAUUCCAACUUCCAUUUGUCGAACUAUUGAAAAGCGAAUUGCUUCCUUCUGGUGGAAACAGAAUGUAGACUAGAGGAGUUCAUUGGAAGAAAUGGGAAGAUAUGAAAACCAGAAAAGGAUUGUGGUGGGUUAGGCUUCAAGGAUUUGGUGGAUUUUAACAAAGCUAUGCUAGGAAAACAGGCUUGGAGAAUUGUUAAACAGCCAAAUGCACUAUGGUGCCAAGUGUUGAAGAGCAUCUAUUUUCCACGAAGUGAUUUAUGGGCAGCAAACAGAGGAAAUCGGCCCUCAUGAGGAUGGCAAAGUAUCUUGGUUGGAAGGGAUGCAAUUGAACCAGCUACUAGAUGGGUGGUCGGAGAUGGAAAAACGAUAAGAAUCCGAGAGGAUGUAUGGUUGCCUUCAGGAAGAAUAAUUGGGCCGGCAAACAAAGAAGAUCCAAGAAUAGUGGCGGAACUAAUAGAGAGUGAAUCGAAGGAAUGGGACUUGAACAAAGUACAAGCAAUUUUUCAGGAAAAUAUAGCACAAGAGAUUUUAGUGCACCCUCUAAGCCCGCAACCCAACCCAGACAAGCUUGUCUGGACAGCAAACAGAUCCGGCUCAUACACAGUUAAGAGCGGAUACAACAGAUUACAAAGCUCAACCAUUCCCACCACUAGACAAAACCCUUCUUCAUCCUACCAAACACCAAAAUUAUUGUGGCAUCAAAUAUGGAAUCUACCAACAUCCACCAAAAUCAGAGUCUUUUUUUGGAAUUUAUGCAGUAACUCCCUCCCAACAAAGGCAAAUUUGCACAAGAGACAAAUAAUACCUGAUCCAAUGUGCCAGAUUUGCGGCCAUGCACCAGAGACAAUGGAGCAUAUAUUCAUCCUCUGU
rnacentral:lncRNA from 1 species